UACAGAGGUCCCAAGCGUUGUUCGGAUUCAUUGGGCGUAAAGGGUGCGUAGGCGGCGCCGUAAGUCGGAUGUGAAAUCUCGGGGCUCAACCCUGAAACUGCAUUCGAUACUGCGGUGCUAGAGGACUGGAGAGGAAACUGGAAUUCACGGUGUAGCAGUGAAAUGCGUAGAUAUCGUGAGGAAGACCUGUGGCGAAGGCGGGUUUCUGGACAGUUCCUGACGCUGGAGGCACGAAGGCCAGGGGAGCAAACGGG
rnacentral:rRNA from 1 species